GAUGAACGCUAGCGAUAGGCUUAACACAUGCAAGUCGAGGGGCAGCACAAGGUAGCUUGCUCUCUGGGUGGCGACCGGCGCACGGGUGCGUAACGCGUAUGCAACUUGCCCUAUACAGGAGGAUAACCCGUCGAAAGACGGACUAAUACUGCGUAUGCUCACAACUUGGCAUCAAGUGGUGAGGAAAGAAAUUCGGUAUAGGAUAGGCAUGCGUCCCAUUAGCUUGUUGGUGAGGUAACGGCUCACCAAGGCAACGAUGGGUAGGGGAACUGAGAGGUUUAUCCCCCACACUGGUACUGAGACACGGACCAGACUCCUACGGGAGGCAGCAGUGAGGAAUAUUGGUCAAUGGGCGCGAGCCUGAACCAGCCAAGUCGCGUGAAGGAGGACUGUCUUAUGGAUUGUAAACUUCUUUUAGACGGGAAUAACAAGAGUCACGUGUGACUCCCUGCAUGUACCGUAUGAAUAAGCAUCGGCUAACUCCGUG
rnacentral:rRNA from 1 species